rnacentral:rRNA from 1 species
CCUACGGGUGGCUGCAGUGGGGAAUAUUGCACAAUGGGGGAAACCCUGAUGCAGCGACGCCGCGUGAGUGAAGAAGUCUUUCGGUAUGUAAAGCUCUAUCAGCAGGGAAGAAACUUACGGUACUUGCUUAAGAAUCCGCGGCUACCUACGUGCCAGCAGCCGCGGUAAUACUUAGGGGGCAAGCGUUAUCCGGAUGUACUGGGUGGAAAGGGAGCGUAGUAGGCAGGACAAGUCUGGAGUGAAGUGCCGGGGCUUAACCCCGGAACUGCUUUGGAAACUGUGGAGCUAGAGGGCAGGAGAGGUAAGUGGAAUUCCUAGUGUAGCGGUGAAAUGCGUAGAUAUUAGGAGGAACACCAGUGGCGAAGGCGGCUUACUGGACUGUAACUGACGUUGAGGCUCGAAAGCGUGGGGAGCAAACAGGAUUAGAUACCCCAGUAGUC